AUUGCAGGCUGCAACCCGCCCUGCAUGAAGUCGGAAUUGCUAGUAAUCGCGGAUCAGCAUGCCGCGGUGAAUACGUUCCCGGGCCUUGUACACACCGCCCGUCACACCAUGGGAGCCGGUAAUACCCGAAGUCAGUAGUCCGACCACGUGAGGACGCUGCCGAAGGUAGGAUUGGCGACUGGGGUGAAGUCGUAACAAGGUACC
rnacentral:rRNA from 1 species